AGUGAACGCUGGCGGCAGGCCUAAUACAUGCAAGUCGAACGGCAGCACAGCAGAGCUUGCUCUGUGGGUGGCGAGUGGCGGACGGGUGAGGAAUACGUGGGAAUCUGCCCAGUCGUGGGGAUAACGUAGGGAAACUUACGCUAAUACCGCAUGCGCCCUUCGGGGGAAAGCCGGGGACCUUCGGGCCUGGCGCGAUUGGAUGAGCCCACGUCGGAUUAGCUAGUUGGCGGGGUAAAGGCCCACCAAGGCGACGAUCCGUAGCUGGUCUGAGAGGAUGAUCAGCCACACUGGAACUGAGACACGGUCCAGACUCCUACGGGAGGCAGCAGUAGGGAAUAUUGGACAAUGGGCGCAAGCCUGAUCCAGCCAUGCCGCGUGAGUGAAGAAGGCCCUCGGGUUGUAAAGCUCUUUUGUCCGGAAAGAAAGCGCCGGGUUAAUACCCUGGUGUCCUGACGGUACCGGAAGAAUAAGCACCGGCUAACUCGUGCCAGCAGCCGCGGUAAU
rnacentral:rRNA from 1 species